CAGCACCUCAAGUGGUCAGGAUGAUUAUUGGGCCUAAAGCAUCCGUAGCCGGCUCUGUAAGUUUUCGGUUAAAUCUGUACGCUUAACGUACAGGCUGCCGGGAAUACUGCAGAGCUAGGGAGUGGGAGAGGUAGACGGUACUCGGUAGGAAGGGGUAAAAUCCUUUGAUCUAUUGAUGACCACCUGUGGCGAAGGCGGUCUACCAGAACACGUCCGACGGUGAGGGAUGAAAGCUGGGGGAGCGAACCGGAUUAGAUACCCGAGUAGUCC
rnacentral:rRNA from 1 species